rnacentral:rRNA from 1 species
ACGGGAGGCAGCAGUGAGGAAUAUUGGUCAAUGGGCGAGAGCCUGAGCCAGCCAAGUAGCGUGCAGGAUGACGGCCCUCCGGGUUGUAAACUGCUUUUAGUUGGGAAUAAAAAGAGGGACGUGUCCCUCAUUGUAUGUACCAUCAGAAAAAGGACCGGCUAAUUCCGUGCCAGCAGCCGCGGUAAUACGGAAGGUCCGGGCGUUAUCCGGAUUUAUUGGGUUUAAAGGGAGCGUAGGCGGGCCUUUAAGUCAGUGGUAAAAGCGUGUGGCUCAAUCAUACCACGCCACUGAAACUGGAGGCCUUGAGUGCACACAGGGAUGCUGGAAUUCGUCGUGUAGCGGUGAAAUGCUUAGAUAUGACGAAGAACUCCGAUCGCGAAGGCAGGUGUCCGGGGUGUAACUGACGCUGAGGCUCGAAAGUGCGGGUAUCAAACAGGAUUAGAUACCCUGGUA